rnacentral:rRNA from 1 species
GACGAACGCUGGCGGCGUGCCUAAUACAUGCAAGUCGGGCGGACCGAACGAGGACUUGCUCUUGUUUGGUCAGCGGCGGACGGGUGAGUAACACGUGGGCAACCUGCCCGCAAGACCGGGAUAACUCCGGGAAACCGGAGCUAAUACCGGAUAACACCGACGACCGCAUGGUCUUCGGUUGAAAGGCGGCCUUUGGGCUGUCACUUGCGGAUGGGCCCGCGGCGCAUUAGCUAGUCGGUGAGGUAACGGCUCACCAAGGCGACGAUGCGUAGCCGGCCUGGGAGGGUGACCGGCCACACUGGGACUGAGACAGGGCCCAGACUCCUACGGGAGGCAGCAGUAGGGAAUCUUCCGCAAUGGGCGAAAGCCUGACGGAGCGACGCAGCGUGAGCGAAGAAGGCCUUCGGGUCGUAAAGAUCUGUUGUGAGGGACGAAGGAGCGCCGUUCGAAGAGGGCGGCGAAGUGACGGUACCUCACGAGAAAGCCCCGGCUAACUACGUG